CCACCACACUGCAAGGGAAAAGAGAAUCUCUUCCUCAAUUAGGGUGCCCUAAGGGAACAUUUUUCAGCCUUUGUAAAUCCACGGCCCUGUUGUUACAUAAAAAUCCAUCUCUUAUUCUCAUUCCAGUCCUAGCCCACCCUGUCUCUCCCACUGCAUGCAGCUGUAGUGCCUGGACUCAAUGCAUGGAGCUGCUAUCUUGGAAAGGAAAGAAUAACAGGAAGAUCAGGGAAGGAAAGGGGAACUCCGAGUACCACCGAACUGGCACUGCAGGACCAGAAAUUAAAAUCAGAGACCAAUAAAGAAGAGAAGGGUCCUCCUGCAAGUGUUUCUCCUUGCUUCCUUUAAAUGUCAGUGACCUCACGUCUCCCUCUCCUGAUUGACACCCAGCUGUGGGCUUGCUUGGCUCAAGGAAGAAUCAUGGAUCUGUGAACUUUGGCAGAAGGUAGGGACCUCAUCUCGCUCAUUCAACCGACAUCUAGAGAGACUCUCCAUCUGCUAGGGUCCUGGUCCAGCUGCCUCACUCAUAGAGGACACUGAGUCCCAGAGAGGAACGGUAACUUGCUUAGGGUCGCCCAGCUAGUAAGCAGCAGGGCUAGGCCUGGAAUACAAGUCUUCUGCAUCCAAGGUCAGUGCUCACUUAAAAAAAAAAUGUUUUUAAAAUAAAAUUCUCUUUUAAACUUGGACAAGCAGAACUGUAGCAUCCAUGGGACCCUAAAUAAAAUUCAUUUGUUUAAUCCAUUCAUUCAACAAAUACUGAUGAGUGGGAUAUGCCAAUAUAUAUUGAUAUGCCAAUAUAUGAUUGCCUGGCAGCACUAAGGAGCCAUCAGGGUUUGCGGUCAUGAAUCUAAAGUGUGAGCUGCCAGCCUAGCUGUGCAUUUUUCUCGAACUUCAUUCAGGUACAUGGGGUCAGGUGCUAAGUGAGCGGAGAGUCAGAUCUAACCAGGGUUGUGAUUUUGCCAAAGGAGUGUGAUAAAGGAAGGGGGUGAGAAUUGAGGGGAUGUAAAGAAGUGAGUACGAUGAAAAAUCAUAGGAUUGAAAGGUGAAUUUUAUUAUAAAAACUGUUUUUUUUUUUUAAUUUCACACAAUGAAUUUUGAAACCGAGUUGUGAUGCACAUUCAGGUUGAGAUGGUAAUAUUGUCAUCUUUGUUUGGAAGCUGUCUUGAGGGUGUUCGCUUGGGCAGGUUCAACUUGGAGACAGUGGAGGCUCUGCUUGAUUUAAAUUGUUGUUUGAUCCAGUGCUCGACCUGAGAGCCUCAGGACUUUCCUUCCUCCGGAAGGAGCCUUUUGAGACAAAUCUAGGGGCUGGUCAAAGCUCAGGAGCUGCAGCUCAACUUCUAAAGCCCUUUUAUAGUGUUAUUUGUAUAAGUAAAUAGUUGGCUUCCUAUUUCAGGGAGGGAUGUAUUUGUCCUCAAGGCUGCCUCGUGUCCUGGGCAACCACUGGGGUGCUGGAAAGCACAACUGCUCCUCUCCUGACGUUGUUUUGAAAUAGCCAGGGCAAUUUGGACCCUUCAACCACAAAAAUCAAUUGUAUACUGAAGCUGAAAUACGAGCCACCCUGCUUCCCUCUCUCAGUUUUGUAUUCUGUCCAUCCCCUACCUCAUCGUAACACUUCCUAAGAAUCUGGCCUCCUUUCCACUCAUUGUAGGUGCCCAUGCGGACGAUCUGCAUUACUUGGUUUUCAUUGAUGUCAGCGGUGGUAAUGAUUAAGUGGAAACACCCCACCCCAUUCAAACGUCUCCCACUUCCUGCUGAUCCCCAUUGCGAGCGAGAGUGCAGUGUGCCUUCCAAUAUUCCUCCCAAAACUUGUGGCUGGAGUGCAAGCAAGGUGAAACAGUGGAAAGCAAAUCCUCUUGACUCCAGUCACACCACCACCUUCCAGCAGCUCCAAACGUCAGCCUCCUCCCCAGGCGGAUGCAGUAGUCUUUGGAAAAACUCAAUGGAUAUUUCACUACCAAGUGGUACCAAACAAUAACUGAAGGUAUAAGCAAAGCAGAAGUAUAUGCAUAUAUAAAAGUGUACCAAGAUGCACACUUCUGAUGUGUUCUCUUUAUGUAAAUUGUAACCCAGGAUAAAAAUUUUAAUAAAGCAGAAUUCUAGAAUCCUAACUAAUGUAGGAUCUAGGCGUGGGGGCAAUCAAUAAUGCUAUUACCCACUUGAAGAUCCCAAUGUUCUGGGUUGCCUUUGACAGAGGACAUCAAAACAGUAAAGAAUGAUUGCCGAUUGUUGUUUCAAAAACAGAACAAUAAAAGGUAAGUCACCCCACCACCACACACACACACACACACACACACUUGCCCUCACAUUCUCAAUCCCUAGAAUAGAUUUGAAAAAGAAAAGCCCAAGAAAUUCCAAGCAUGCAUACCUCCCCAGAUAAGACAGAAAUGGAAGAAAACCAAACUUUUUAAAGUAAGCAUUUUGAUCUUCAUGCAAACAUGGAGUUAAUCUUGGGACAGCUAAGCACAAUUACACAGAUGAAUUCAUUGUGUGAAAUGGUCAUUGAGCGUAGAGAAUGUUAGUGCCAGUUCAGAGUCCAAGCUCUGUAGGGGUCAUACCUGAAUCUGCUGAGCUGAGCACAUGGAAACCUCGGUGUGCAUUCAGGCUUAACCACUCUUUUUAAUUUAUUUCAGAGUUGCUCACUGGGGUGGCUUCAGGAAAUGCAAAUAGAAUGUCCAUAGUGGUGUGUGAAGACUGCAGGGUUUUGAUGCAUGUUAAAAUGAAAAUAUAAAUAAGAAUCUCUGUGCCUGUAUUUACAUGGAUUAAAGUUGUUCUUAAGAU